rnacentral:lncRNA from 1 species
GACUUGCUGACAGAAGCACAGAUGUUGCUGGGGUGGAUUUCUGAUUCAGCAGUUUCAGCAGAGCCUGGGAAUUUGCCUUUCUAACAAGUCUCCCGGUGGGUGACACCAGUGCUGCUGCGUGGGACCCCGCUUGGACAGGGCCACACGACAGAGCUCUGCUCUUAACAGGAAUGCAUGGGGGAAUCAUCCAUGGGUCUUCCAAGAAGGCAGACACAUUGGCCUCCCACUGUUCAACAGAACCUCAUCCCCUGGGGCGAUCCCUGGUCCCCUGGUCCUGAGACUCGGGGAUUCCACAGGACUGAUUGUUCCGGAAAACCAUGGAGUGAAGGAUGCCCAAGAACCUGCCCCUGAUUCAAAAGGUGAUCAUCAACGAUGGACUGUGCCUCAGAGGGAUAUGGACACUGCCUCCCUGGGGUCCCCCA